AGCACAGCGACAUAAAUAUGACCAACCAGAUCCCAAGUAGACAGGAACAAAUGAAGAUAUAGCACAUAGAAAGACUUAUUCUUGGUGAUCAACUGCUAUUGACAUUUUUGAAUCGGGACAAUUGUGGAGUGAUUCGGAAGAAAAACGUUUGCAACACAUCCAUUCCAGGAGCACAGUGGCCCCCAACUGAAAAUUUUAGGGGCGCAACCAGAAAAUUAAGGGGCACACACGAGUGCUCUGACAGAUAAAACUGACACACUUGAUGAGGACACAGUCAAAGCUUCAAAAGACCGUGUGAUAAAGCAGUCUUCAAUUACUACGGUGUCUGAAUUGCAAGAAGUGACCCUCCACUUAAACAUGUGAUAUCUAAACUGUUUUGUGUUUUAGUUCAGCUAUUUAUAGGUUUAUCUUAAGUUGGU